rnacentral:ncRNA from 1 species
CGUGUGGUGCUGUGCAGGUUUUUUAGCCUGGCACGGAGAGCGACACGGCCUUUUAUGAGGU